ensembl:lncRNA
GGAGAUUACAAAUAUUCAAACAAUAGUUACUAUUUGAAGAGAAUACAGUAGAAAAUGUUUUUUUUUUUAAACACACCAAUCUAAUAAUGAGAUUUUUUUAAUAAUAUUUUUUUCCUUAUAAGAGUGACUAGUUACAAACCAGACGAUCAUUCAAAUAAUACUCCACUGUCAGUGAGCGUUGUCACAACAAGCCUCACUCUCCUAGUAUUUCCUCAAAGUCAGAUACCCACACAAAAGAUCUUUGUUCAAGAAACUCAAACAGACAAGAAAUUAAAAUAAUUCUUAGAGUUCACAGAAAAUAAAAAUAAUUCAGUUUACAAUCAUAACACUACAGUAAAUAUUAAAUUCAACAUUACAGAAAAUUUCAGAAAACAAAAAUAUGGUAUGAAGAACACAAAACACAUAUGACCUUAUUCAGAAUCCUACAAAAGUUACUGGUAAAAUCUAGUAAGACAAAACUCCUUUAACUAAAUAUCAAAAAUGUAAUCCGUGCAUUAAACAAAAUGAAAUAAGACAUUCAUCUUCUUGAAAAAAACAACCUCAACAAGAAAUACAUGUUUAGAGUGAAAGACAACAAUCAUAUUUAUACCACGAAAGCUUUGUGUGGCGACAAAACAGCAAGGGUUAGGCAAGAGGACGAUUUGAAAUGGCUUGUUGCAUUGUGCCGACCUCGUGGUGUUUUCUAAGGCUUUGGAUGAGUAAUACAAUCAGGUCAAGCUCUUCCAUACAAUGUCUUUUCAUACAAUGCAUGCAGAAGCAUGAGGGUUAACCCAAAAACAAUCUACACUCCCCCACGCUUCCAUACACAAAUUUACACUCACCCCCCUCUUGUCCAUACACAACUUCAUCUGUGAUUUUGGCCCCACACAUUUGCUGAACAGAGCUCCACUAGUGCACCCACAUAUGUCAACACAGAACACAGAAGAAAAAUACCAAAAAAACAUUUGACUGUAUCUAUCCCAAAGCAUCCAUACUAUCACACAUUAAAAUACACAUAAUGCGUUUUCACAAGUUCUCUCACAAAUCAUAGACCAUACAAACUGCACUUAAUAAAACAUACCAUUUUUAAAAAAUCAUUAAAUGAAUUAUAAUGAAAUGAAAACCACACCAUGUUCGAACAACUCAACCAUAAGCCACCCUGUAACUCUUGGAAAGUGCUCCUCACUCCACUCAGCGGUUUGGUUUAUCACGCAACUUUCAGUAGUUCUUCAUUCUAUCCUUCCUUUUUAACAGUCUCCACUCCUACUUCGUCACACGUGAGACUUUUGGAAUAAUAUUGGGUCCAGGGCCAAAGCCCCAUGCAUUAAGCCUUUACAGUCUAUAAACUUUAUACUCAGAGACAGAGAGGACUGGGUCCUAACAGAACCAACUAGAGUCUAUAGCCUUUAUACCCAGAGAGGACUGGGUCCUAACAGAACCAACUAGAGUCUAUAGCCUUUAUACCCAGAGAGGACUGGGUCCUAACAGAACCAACUAGAGUCUAUAGCCUUUAUACCCAGAGACAGAGAGGACCAGGUCCUAACAGAACCAAAUAGAGUCUAUAGACUUCAUACCCAGAGACAGAGAGGACAGGGUCCUAACAGAACCAACUAGAGUCUAUAGCCUUUAUACCCAGAGAGGACUGGGUCCUAACAGAACCAACUAGAGUCUAUAGCCUUUAUACCCAGAGACAGAGAGGACUGGGUCCUAACAGAACCAACUAGAGUCUAUAGACUUUAUACCCAGAGACAGAGAGGACCAGGUCCUAACAGAACCAACUAGAGUCUAUAGACUUUAUACCCAGAGACAGAGAGGACUGGGUCCUAACAGAACCAACUAGAGUCUAUAGACUUUAUACCCAGAGACAGAGAGGACCAGGUCCUAACAGAACCAACUAGAGUCUAUAGACUUUAUACUCAGAGACAAAGAGGACUGGGGCCUAACAGAACCAACUAGAGUCUAUAGACUUUAUACCCAGAGACAGAGAGGACCAGGUCCUAACAGAACCAACUAGAGUCUAUAGACUUUAUACUCAGAGACAAAGAGGACUGGGGCCUAACAGAACCAACUAGAGUCUAUAGACUUUAUACCCAGAGACAGAGAGGACCAGGUCCUAACAGAACCAACUAGAGUCUAUAGACUUCAUACCCAGAGAGGACCAGGUCCUAACAGAACCAACUAGAGUCUAUAGACUUUAUACUCAGAGAGUACUGGGUCCUAACAGGACCAACUAGAGUCUAUAGACUUUAUACCUAGAGAGGACCAGGUCCUAACAUAACCAACUUAGAGUCUAUAGACUUUAUACUCAGAGAGGACCAGGUCCUAAAAGAACCAACUAGAGUCUAUAGACUUUAUACCCAGAGAGGACCAGGGCCUAACAGAACCAACUAGAGUCUAUAGAUGUUAUACCCAGAGACAGAGAGGACCAGGUCCUAACAGCACCAACUAGAGUCUAUAUACUUUAUACCAAGAGACAGAGAGGACCAGGGCCUAACAUAACCAACUAGAGUCUAUAGACGUUAUGCCCAGAGACAGAGAGGACCAGGUCCUAACAGAACCAACUAGAGUCUAUAUACUUUAUACCCAGAGAGGACCAGGUCCUAACAGAGCCAACUAGAGUCUAUAGACUUUAUACUCAGAGACAAAGAGGACCAGGUCCUAACAGAACCAACUAGAGUCUAUAGACUUUAUACCCAGAGAGGACUGGGUCCUAACAGAACCAACUAGACUCUAUAGACUUUAUACUCAGAGAGUACUGGGUCCUAACAGAACCAACUAGAGUCUAUAGACUUUAUACCCAGAGACAGAGAGGACCAGGUCCUAACAGAACCAACUAGAGUCUAUAGACUUUAUACCCAAAGACAGAGAGGACUGGCUCCUGACAGAACCAAGUAAAGGUUAUAGACUUUAUACUCAGAUACAAAGAGGACUGGGUCCUAACAGAACCAACUAGAGUCUAUAGACUUUAUACCCAGAGACAGAGAGGACCAGGUCCUAACAGAACCAACUAGAGUCUAUAGACUUUAUACCCAGAGACAGAGAGGACCAGGUCCUAACAGAACCAACUAGAGUCUAUAUACUUUAUACCCAUAGACAGAGAGGACCAGGUCAUAACAGAACCAACUAGUCAUUAUACUUUAUACCCAGAGAGGACUGUGUCCUAACAGAACCAAUACCCCUUCUCUGUCUGACUCACACCGUGGAAUCUAAGGUCAAGGCAAAUGAAAAGAAAACCAACAGAAGACCAGAGGUAACCCAAACAAACUACGGUGGGUAACUGCGUACCCAAGAGGCAAAGACCAUGAAUGGUUCAUCUGUUAAUGACGUCAAACUGUAGACAAACGUUCACGGAACAAGGACACUAGAGACAUUAGAGACUUGGAAGGCGUUCCCCAGGGUAACACUGUAACACGGCUAUAAUGACCCCAUAACACUCAAUGUUUUUGGGAUAUACAUACAUAGACUGUGGCACUUUAAGUGGAGCUUGCAACAUAUCUACUAAAGCUGGGAUGGGUUUUAAAACACAAAGGUAUACUAAACCCACAACAUUCAGCUGUCCUUAUGGCACCAAGCCCACUAACCCAUUUCAACCAAGUUGGUCUUGUAAAGAACCAAAUCAUCUACAAACAAGCCAUGCACAAUUCUUUCAGUCUAAUAUGGCAAUUAGUUACAAUUCCUCGUCAUUUCCCCUUCUUGCUUAAAAUACAAGGUGUUUUGUGUAAACCAUGAAAAAAUAAUAUAAAUUAAAGAAAAACAAACUGAAAAUAACAUAAAAGAGAGUCUUGGUCUGCUGACAUACCAAACUAGUGGGCGUGACUAUCUCCUCAUGUUGACAUUCAAAGUGUGUCCGGUGUUUUAAUGGAUGACGCCUCCACAGACAUAAAGGCUGGCUGUAAUGUUCUGUAGAUGACAUAGUUCCUCUCUGUGUAGGAGGUGCUGUUGUCCGUAUGGUGUGUGUAGAAUACACAUGUUCACCACCUUAUGACA